rnacentral:rRNA from 1 species
UAGGACGAACGCUGGCGGCGUGCCUAAUACAUGCAAGUCGAACGGUCUUUCUAUGGAAGCUUGCUUCCACUGAGAAGAUAGUGGCGAACGGGUGAGUAACACGUGGGUAACCUGCCCAUAAGAGGGGGGAUAACAUCCGGAAACGGGUGCUAAUACCGCAUAGUUUUCUUGAUCGCAUGAUUGGGAAAGGAAAGACGGCCUUUGUGCUGUCGCUUAUGGAUGGACCCGCGGCGUAUUAGUUAGUUGGUGAGGUAACGGCUCACCAAGACGAUGAUACGUAGCCGACCUGAGAGGGUGAUCGGCCACAUUGGGACUGAGACACGGCCCAAACUCCUACGGGAGGCAGCAGUAGGGAAUCUUCCGCAAUGGACGAAAGUCUGACGGAGCAACGCCGCGUGAGUGGAAGAAGGUUUUCGGAUCGUAAAACUCUGUUGUCAGAGAAGAACAAGUUGGAGAGUAACUGCUCCGGCCUUGACGGUAUCUGACCAGAAAGCCACGGCUAACUACGUGCCAGCCGCAGC